ACGGGGAGCAGCCCAGAGCCUGAAUCAGUGUGUGUGUUAGUGGAAGCGUCUGGAAAGGCGCGCGAUACAGGGUGACAGCCCCGUACACAAAAAUGCACAUAUUGUGAGCUCGAUGAGUAGGGCGGGACACGUGGUAUCCUGUCUGAAUAUGGGGGGCCCAUCCUCCAAGGCUAAAUACUCCUGACUGACCGAUAGUGAACCAGUACCGUGAGGGAAAGGCGAAAAGAACCCCGGCGAGGGGAGUGAAAAAGAACCUGAAACCGUGUACGUACAAGCAGUGGGAGCACGCUUAGGCGUGUGACUGCGUACCUUUUGUAUAAUGGGUCAGCGACUUAUAUUCUGUAGCAAGGUUAACCGAAUAGGGGAGCCGAAGGGAAACCGAGUCUUAACUGGGCGUUAAGUUGCAGGGUAUAGACCCGAAACCCGGUGAUCUAGCCAUGGGCAGGUUGAAGGUUGGGUAACACUAACUGGAGGACCGAACCGACUAAUGUUGAAAAAUUAGCGGAUGACUUGUGGCUGGGGGUGAAAGGCCAAUCAAACCGGGAGAUAGCUGGUUCUCCCCGAAAGCUAUUUAGGUAGCGCCUCGUGAAUUCAUCUCCGGGGGUAGAGCACUGUUUCGGCAAGGGGGUCAUCCCGACUUACCAACCCGAUGCAAACUGCGAAUACCGGAGAAUGUUAUCACGGGAGACACACGGCGGGUGCUAACGUCCGUCGUGAAGAGGGAAACAACCCAGACCGCCAGCUAAGGUCCCAAAGUCAUGGUUAAGUGGGAAACGAUGUGGGAAGGCCCAGACAGCCAGGAUGUUGGCUUAGAAGCAGCCAUCAUUUAAAGAAAGCGUAAUAGCUCACUGGUCGAGUCGGCCUGCGCGGAAGAUGUAACGGGGCUAAACCAUGCACCGAAGCUGCGGCAGCGACGCUUAUGCGUUGUUGGGUAGGGGAGCGUUCUGUAAGCCUGCGAAGGUGUGCUGUGAGGCAUGCUGGAGGUAUCAGAAGUGCGAAUGCUGACAUAAGUAACGAUAAAGCGGGUGAAAAGCCCGCUCGCCGGAAGACCAAGGGUUCCUGUCCAACGUUAAUCGGGGCAGGGUGAGUCGACCCCUAAGGCGAGGCCGAAAGGCGUAGUCGAUGGGAAACAGGUUAAUAUUCCUGUACUUGGUGUUACUGCGAAGGGGGGACGGAGAAGGCUAUGUUGGCCGGGCGACGGUUGUCCCGGUUUAAGCGUGUAGGCUGGUUUUCCAGGCAAAUCCGGAAAAUCAAGGCUGAGGCGUGAUGACGAGGCACUACGGUGCUGAAGCAACAAAUGCCCUGCUUCCAGGAAAAGCCUCUAAGCAUCAGGUAACAUCAAAUCGUACCCCAAACCGACACAGGUGGUCAGGUAGAGAAUACCAAGGCGCUUGAGAGAACUCGGGUGAAGGAACUAGGCAAAAUGGUGCCGUAACUUCGGGAGAAGGCACGCUGAUAUGUAGGUGAAGUCCCUUGCGGAUGGAGCUGAAAUCAGUCGAAGAUACCAGCUGGCUGCAACUGUUUAUUAAAAACACAGCACUGUGCAAACACGAAAGUGGACGUAUACGGUGUGACGCCUGCCCGGUGCCGGAAGGUUAAUUGAUGGGGUCAGCGCAAGCGAAGCUCUUGAUCGAAGCCCCGGUAAACGGCGGCCGUAACUAUAACGGUCCUAAGGUAGCGAAAUUCCUUGUCGGGUAAGUUCCGACCUGCACGAAUGGCGUAAUGAUGGCCAGGCUGUCUCCACCCGAGACUCAGUGAAAUUGAACUCGCUGUGAAGAUGCAGUGUACCCGCGGCAAGACGGAAAGACCCCGUGAACCUUUACUAUAGCUUGACACUGAACAUUGAGCCUUGAUGUGUAGGAUAGGUGGGAGGCUUUGAAGUGUGGACGCCAGUCUGCAUGGAGCCGGCCUUGAAAUACCACCCUUUAAUGUUUGAUGUUCUAACGUGGACCCGUGAUCCGGGUUGCGGACAGUGUCUGGUGGGUAGUUUGACUGGGGCGGUCUCCUCCUAAAGAGUAACGGAGGAGCACGAAGGUUGGCUAAUCCUGGUCGGACAUCAGGAGGUUAGUGCAAUGGCAUAAGCCAGCUUGACUGCGAGCGUGACGGCGCGAGCAGGUGCGAAAGCAGGUCAUAGUGAUCCGGUGGUUCUGAAUGGAAGGGCCAUCGCUCAACGGAUAAAAGGUACUCCGGGGAUAACAGGCUGAUACCGCCCAAGAGUUCAUAUCGACGGCGGUGUUUGGCACCUCGAUGUCGGCUCAUCACAUCCUGGGGCUGAAGUAGGUCCCAAGGGUAUGGCUGUUCGCCAUUUAAAGUGGUACGCGAGCUGGGUUUAGAACGUCGUGAGACAGUUCGGUCCCUAUCUGCCGUGGGCGCUGGAGAACUGAGGGGGGCUGCUCCUAGUACGAGAGGACCGGAGUGGACGCAUCACUGGUGUUCGGGUUGUCAUGCCAAUGGCACUGCCCGGUAGCUAAAUGCGGAAGAGAUAAGUGCUGAAAGCAUCUAAGCACGAAACUUGCCCCGAGAUGAGUUCUCCCUGACCCUUUAAGGGUCCUGAAGGAACGUUGAAGACGACGACGUUGAUAGGCCGGGUGUGUAAGCGCAGCGAUGCGUUGAGCUAACCGGUACUAAUGAACCGUGAGG
rnacentral:rRNA from 1 species